UUCUUCUUCUUGUUCUUCUUCUUCGUCUUCUUCUUCUGCUUCUCUUCUUCUCCUCUUCUUCCCUUCUCCUCCCCGACGCCCCACACAUGAACUCCUAUGUUUCCUCCUACACGAAACAGAUGUGUUGCAGCCCUAGCUGCUGCAGCUAUCUCUCUUUCCUCUCCCUCUUCCCUCUCUUCUUCUUCUUUUCUUCUCUUCUCCCUCUUCUUCCUCUCUUCUUUUCCCUCUUCUUCUCUUCUCCCUCUACUUCUCUUCUUCUUCUCCCCACGCCCCAUCGCUCCUCUCUCUAUUUCUCAAAAGAAACAGAGAGAGCGUGGGAGGCGGUCGGAUAAAACCGAAAUUUUCGGUUUUCUUUAUUUUUUUUCUUUUUGCAACUUAACAAUUUAGUCUUUGAAAUUUUUAUAUUUACAUAUAGGUCCUCCAAUUUACAUAUAAAUCCUUAUUAAUAAAUUUUCAAAAGUGAGGGAUAUUACACUCUCCCCACCUUAAAAGAAAAUUUAAUCCUCUAAAUUGGUCAUAACUCAAUCGAUGAAAAGAUGAGGAUUAUGAUUUCUUUAUUUCCUCCUCCUGCUCUCAAAUAGUUUCAUCAAUACAAUACAAUUACACAAUUAUCCAAGAGUGACCGAAAUAUUCUCCUCCUUGAUCCUCAAUAGUUGGUAACCCGACAUUCAAACAAUCUUUGAAAAUACCUGUGCACCCUAUAGUUAAUCAAACAAGUCAUCACUUUAGAGAAUACUCAUUUUUUAUGGUCACCUAAUUCAACUGUCUAUAAUCAAUACAAAGCCUCAAUGUUCCCUCCAUCUUUUUAACUAAUACCAGAGCACCCCAUGAUGAAAUAUUAAGCCAAAUAAAAUCCUUAUUUAAUAGUCCUUGUAGUUGCUUUUUCAAUUCCACUUACUCAAAUGAUAUCAUUUUGUAGAGAGACUUAGAUAUUGGGAUUGUCCUAAGGACCAAAUCAAAAGCAAAGUCACAUUUGGAGGUAAUCCAAGCAAGUCAUCCUGGGAUACAUUAGGCAAGGAGAUAAAUCAUGUCCAAUACUCUCAAAAUAAAAGAUCGACUGAUCAAAUAUGCAAAAAGUGAUCAUUUGUUAUAUACCAAUCCAUACUGGUAUGAUAAGAAGAUAGUCAAUCCAUACCAAGUAUAAUAUCAAAACUUCAAAUCUCUAGGAGAACUAAAUCAGCAAAAGUUCAAGUUCUCCAAUAAAAAUCAGACAAGAGGACCAGAUUCAAGUUUGUUAUCAAAGAAUCUCCAAUGAUCGUAUUUACAUAUAGCACAUAAUGUAGUGGUCUAGGUUGAAUACCUAUGUGAUAAGCAAAAUAUUAUGAAUCAAAUCAUAGAUGGGACCCAUGGUCAAACAAAUAUUUGCAUUCUUUCAUAAACAUGCAUAAUACCUUCGAUCACAAAUUCAGAAGUUUUAGAAUCAUAUUCAGUGAUAGCAUACACUCUGACAUGGGCUGAUGAUUUAAGAGGCAGUGACUCUUUCUUCUCGUUCAAAGGGUAGUCUUUUAUUUUAUAAUCCAAUUUUCCACAAGCAAAAUAGGCUCUAGUCACCCGAAAACACAAACUUGUUUCAUAAUUUAACUUGCAAUUCACACAUGAUUGAGUCUUUUGUGGUGACUUCCCUUUUCAAAUUCAAAUGUCUUGACCCUCUUGUUAUCACUUUUUAAUUCAUUUCCAAUCAUAUUUUUAUUGGUAAACUUGUCCUUAUCAUUCUUGCCACUGAUCUCCAAAAAUUCUUUUCAUUGUUGCCAUUAAUGAUCAGCCUCUACUUCAAAUAUAAGGUGGCAAAAGAA
rnacentral:lncRNA from 1 species